CGCAAAAUCAAACAAAGCACACAAUGAAAGAAAAAAGCUGACGAACACACAAAAGAAGAAAGAAAGACUAGGACCUCAUAGACCAAUUUAGUCCUCCUUAUCACUUCCUUAUCACUUCAGAAGUUGCUCUUUCUUCUUUCUUCUCUUUCCUUCGUUAAUCCGU
rnacentral:ribozyme from 12 species